rnacentral:RNase_P_RNA from 1 species
UGAGCCGGCUGGGUGGCCGCGGCACGACGGUUUCGACCGAUCGUGUCGAGGAAGGUCGGGGCUCCACAGGGCAGGGUGCUGGCGAGAUGCCAGUCGGGGUGACCCGCAGGAAAGUGCCACAGAAAACAGACCGCCGAUGGCCCCCCGGGGCACAGGCAAGGGUGAAACGGUGCGGUAAGAGCGCACCAGCGCCCGGGGUGACCCGGGCGGCUCGGCAAACCCCACCCGGAGCAAGGCCAAGUGUGGGAACGGGUGGCCCGCCCGCUGCCUCUGCGGAGGCAGCAUCCCCAGGUAGGCCGCGUUAGAUGGAUGGUCACCACGCCCUCCGGGGCGUACAGAACCCCGCCUA